rnacentral:rRNA from 1 species
UAGUCCACGCCGUAAACGAUGAUGACUAGCUGUCGGGGCGCUUAGCGUUUCGGUGGCGCAGCUAACGCGUUAAGUCAUCCGCCUGGGGAGUACGGCCGCAAGGUUAAAACUCAAAGAAAUUGACGGGGGCCUGCACAAGCGGUGGAGCAUGUGGUUUAAUUCGAAGCAACGCGCAGAACCUUACCAGCGUUUGACAUGGUAGGACGGUUUCUGGAGACAGAUUCCUUCCCUUACGGGACCUACACAC